rnacentral:lncRNA from 1 species
AUUCUGGGCUGCGGGCCUGGGAAGGGCUCGCCGGGUGCCAAAUGAGCUGUCCUAACUCUGCGGGGCUGCAGCUUCCUGCAUGAUGCUGGGGAGCUUGGCGCCUGACCCAGGAUCUAGAAGGCACUCUGGGCAGGCCGCGCUCCGCCCACGAAGGUACCCAACCCUCUGGGAUAGAUGCAGGAAGCGAUGGUUAAGACCCAUUUUCACCCAACUUCUCGCCGCAGGUCUGGCUUACCACACGCUCCUCCCCAUUCCCAGUGAGCCGCUUUUUGCAGCACCAGGCGAACACUUACACCAGUGCUUUGUAAAGGAAUCUUAUUGUCCACCCCGUGUCUUGGCAAAAGAACAGUGAUCACACAGAUUCCUACUUGGGCUCUUUCCUUUAAUCUUCGGAGGCUGAGUUUGCCCAACUCAGGUUUAACCACCAAGGACUCUGAGAGCUGGCAGGUCUGAGUAACCCUGGUAACAAUUCUCUUCACCUUAUCAAAACCUGAGCUAAAACCAAUGCAUCAGCUGAUGAUGACAGCAGAGAGUGGCAGGGCUGAGGACCCAAAGUCAUUUCCCAGGCUGGCGGAGAGUGAGUAAAUGAGAUUCUAAAACUAAACAAGGGAGGUCAGAGACUCUUUCCAACCUUACCUGAUGGCUUCUGGCCAAAGCAAGGAAGUGUCUUGGAAGGUGUUGGUUGGUGAUGGUGCGAAAAGACACUUGAGAAGGAGGGAAGAAAAAGCAGCGCCCCUUGAUAAAGGUUUUUUUCUCAGUCAACUGAAUUCUUUUUCUCCACUUUGUUUUGCCACUCUUAAUGCAUGCAUGAGAGGCCCUAAGAUAAUUUCUGAUGGCCUGGGACUCCUUGGGAAAAAAAUGAAAAGGCACCACAGGUUCCAUUUUGGGAGAAACCUCCAUUUUCCUCAUGAAACCGCAGGAAUUAGAGGCAGAUAAACUGCCAGGGAGAAGAAUGAGAAGACAGGAGACAAACUGUUUGGAAAGCUAAAUCUUCCCUCUUAAUGAAUAAAGGUUUUUGCCUUGUC